CCUACUGCCCGGGAAGAUCCGGACGCGACCGAAGCCGACCAACCAUUAGAAAGUGCAUCCAAUGGGAAUUUUUCCACUCGGGCCCUCGGCUGCGGAGUCGCGCAGACUCCCGGAGCGGCUCACCCAUCGACGCGGACUCGGGGCGGUUUCGGACGGACCCCGGCAGUCGGGGGCGUGGACUCGGCUCCCAGCGAGCUGUUAGCGGAGGGACGCACGCGGGGAGGAGCGCCUCGGCCCCUCCGCUCCCGGGGAGGUCCAGGCGCCCGCCGAGGGCCGGGACCUGCGGCACCCCAGGCCACUGCUCCGCGCCUUCUAGGGUCAACCCCCCGGCACAUACCCCGACCCGAUGGCCCAAGCCCUGGCACUCGGGUCAAAGCCGCCUAUGCAAUGCCACCUUGGGCCCCAAGAAACCUACACUACGGCGAGACGAUCCCUCCAGGCUGGCCGGCGGGUCUCCAAAGCACAGCAGGCAACAUCCCCACACCGACCCAGACUUCUCCCGGGUUACCUUGUCCACGCUCUCCAGACCACGCUUUGGACUUUCUCACUUUUAUUUAAGAGUCCACCCGGAGAAAGAGGAAAAAAAAAAUCCAGAGGAGAUCCGAGUCAAUUGGAAAGAAAAAUUUUCAAAGGGGUGUCCACAGCGGCGAAAAAGGUGACUUAUUAAUUCUUUAUUUCUUCAGGAGCAGUUGAGCCCGAGAGCUCGCUGGCCUCCCUCCCUCCCCCCACCCCCCUCUCGAAAUUAGUCUCAUCAAUUCAGCUCCAAUUUUGGGUUCGAAUACAGACACGGAUCUGAACGUGACCAGACCUGGAGUGGCGGAUGCAGCUUGCCAGCGAUUGUGACUCGCCCAGACUCUGCCGACCUUCAAACGACAACAAGGCUUUCAGGAGGGAGCGGGGAGACCGCUUCCCACACGGACCUGACCAGAAACCCGGCACCCCCGGGCCACAUUCCCCCUCUUUCAGGCAUAGAGAACUCCAGUCUACGGCCAGAGGCCCCCUUCCUGGUGCUGGGCAAACACUCAGGCCGUUAAAGGCCACCGCAGGCCAGCCAGCGUCUCCCCCUUCUACACCCGGUCUUCCUAGUACUUGAGAAGGCACCUCUGUGGCCAAACAUUGGCCAGGUGUCUCUUCCCAACUCCUGUCCAGCCUGGCAAAUAACAGAUUGGCUUCACUGCUCCGAUCAGUAAGUCACCCCAACAUCUCUAGUACCCCCAACUCCUUUUAGCAGGAGCUGCCUCUCCCCUAGGGAGAACUCAAUGUGGAACUAGAUUAAAAUGAGGACUUGCCCUCCUGCUUGAGCUGUGGAACUCAACAGCACUUUCUGUUUCUGCCUGUAAAACCAAAGCUUCUGGCAAUUUCAUAAUUUUGAAGAUGGUGGGGAGGGGGAAGAGGCUGGCACUGGUACAGCUGUCACCCCUCAGUGACUCACUGACUGGCACUGGGGCCGUGGCUUUGAGUGUUUACCAGCCCCUCUGUCAGAAGCUCCUGUCCAUUCACAAGGUCCUCCACCCAGAAAGAAGAGCCCCCCCAACUCUGAAGAGCCCUCUGAGGGAAUCUGAGUCUCCCUGUGACCCGCACUGGCAUGGCAGUGGGCAGGGCUGCCCACUUAUGUAACUCUGGGUUUGAUGUCCCACUCCACUGCUGCUGCUGCUUUUUUAAAUCCUGAAGGGGGAAAAAAGCCCUAACCAAACACAACAGUAAACAAGUCUGCCCUGUUUAAUGUGGUUACCACCAGACAUCUGGAAAGAUGGUUUGAUCCUGGCAGCUCACAUUGUUUUCACGAGCAGCCAAAGAGAAUAUUUCGAAUGUUUGCAUUGAGACAAAUUGAUAGAGAGCCUGUGGUGAGGCGGCUACAGAUGAAAACGGUCUUGGAGCUGGGGAGGGGGAAUCCUUCCCCUUCUCUCUCCUCACCCCUCUUCUGCCCUCUCCCCUCCCCCUCCUCUCCCUUCUCCUGGCCCAGCUAGGGGCUUGUUACCCCAGCCCACGCAUUUGCUCACACCCUCUUUCCUGGCUCACCAGAGACUGUCCUGCCUCUCCCUUUCCCAGACUGGGCAGGGCUGGUGACCAGGAGCUGAUGCCCAGUACCAUCCUGCCCACUCCACCAGCUCCGGCUGGCUUUCAAGUCAGGGGAAGCUCACAGCCAAGGGAGCCGAACCCGCACUGAAAACAAAAGCUAGCAACCGGGGGUCGGGGUGGGGUGAGGGGGACCAACAAAAGAGCCCACCACACGUUUC